AGUAUAUUGUAAACAUAACUUUAUAUGCACUAAGAAACCAAAAUAUUCAUUUGACCCACUUUAUUUUGAUAUUCACUUUAUUGCAGUGGUCUGCAACCAAACCUUCAAUAUCUCCAAGUGGUGCCUGGAAUCAAUCAUAAAUAAAUGAUCUAAGUAGACUGAGUUAUUCUGAUGCGAGGGAGAAGUAAACAGGAAUUUGCCAAAAGAGAAGUCUGCCCCACUCUUUAACACCUGGAACUAGGCAAAUGGCCAAAUUGGAAGAUUGGAAGAUGGAAUGUGAGUUUACAUUCGCAGUUCAUGGAUUCCAGACAACUGGCAUAGAUGGGCAUAUACAGGUGAGGUUCCUGGAAGAUUGGGCUUUCAUUGAACCAGUACAACUUCUGACCCUAAAGGAACUACACCAGCUUCAACCAAGGAUAACAGGACGGAGAUGCUAAAGAAUUGACAUCUCCCUAUACUGGAAGCAAACCAUCUGCUCACUAGCAGUCCAAAAAAGUACUCAAAAAGAAGCAAUGGUGUGUAUUAUGGUAAGAGUUUCAAGAAGGUAUAAACAAGACUGUCCUGAGAAACUGUUGGUUUCCUGUCCUGAACGUGAAGGUCUUCCCAUUUUUGACCAUAUGCUUAAUGAUUAGGUGAAAUGGGUUAAAAAACAAAUAAAUAAAAGGGAAAAGAACUAAUAAAUGUUAUC
rnacentral:lncRNA from 1 species